rnacentral:rRNA from 1 species
UACGAAGGGGGCUAGCGUUGCUCGGAAUCACUGGGCGUAAAGGGCGCGUAGGCGGCCAUUCAAGUCGGGGGUGAAAGCCUGUGGCUCAACCACAGAAUUGCCUUCGAUACUGUUUGGCUUGAGUAUGGUAGAGGUUGGUGGAACUGCGAGUGUAGAGGUGAAAUUCGAUAGAUAUUCGCGAAGAACACCGGUGGCGAAGGCGGCCAACUGGACCAUUACUGACGCUGAGGCGCGAAAGCGUGGGGAGCAAACAGGG